UCCCAAAAAAAUGGACCGACUUUUUCUCGUGUCGGAUCCCUAAUCCUAACGCCUAAAAUCUUUACACUUUAGUUCCCACGUCAUUUUCUCGUUCAUUUCACACACCCAAGAAAAAAAAAAAAAAGUCUCUUUUUCAUAUAAAUGCAGCCAGCAGCCACGAAUCUCCGAUGAACAGCCGGACCCGACCCAGACCCACGAUGGAAGUCAAUGGACCUUCCCGCUUCCGCCACCCUAAAUCCCCAUCAACCGACAGAUUCCUUGGCGUUUACCCCCACGUGCCACUAUCCGACCAUCCUUCGUCUUCUUCUGCGGCAGCGGAAGAGCUCAACGAAGAUGAUAUCUUCUUCUCCGGCGACUUCUCUGACAAAUCCAAUGGCUUCAACUCUGCCGGAGGCCUCCAAAAUUCCCUCCAUCAAACAAUUUCUCCUUCCUCCAGCCCCCGUAACCAUAAAUCAUUCCCUCACUCCGAAAAGUUUGGAAUCCUCGCUGCCAUUCGCGACCCUUCACGCCCACACUCCCAUUUCUACCAAAAGCCCUCAAUUUCCACGUCAGCAUCCUCUUCCUCCUCUGCCACUUCAUCAUCCUCGUCCUCUUCUCGUUUAAUCCCUUCGAUUCCGAAACCGCCACAAGAACGAAUCCCAAUCGCUUCAUCUUCCUCUUCUUCUUCUGGAAGGUUUCAUCAAUCCGUGCCGGUUAACGUGCCAAUGCUGGCAAAAACGAUAAGGAAAAACCGAGAAUUUGAUGACGAUUACGAGGUGGACGUGGAGGAAGAAGGGGAAAUGUUGCCACCCCAUGAGAUUGUGGCCAGGAGCUUAGCACAGUCCCCUAUGUUGGCUUGUUCAGUGCUCGAAGGCGUGGGACGAACCCUAAAAGGGAGGGAUCUAAGGCAGGUAAGGAAUGCUGUUUGGAGACAAACUGGAUUUCUUGAUUAAUUGAGAAAGGAAUUUGUGUUUUGAUAUUUUUUAAUUUUCUUUUAGGGUUUUGAUUAUUGACUGUUGGAUAUGGAAGAGAAUAAGUAUUCCAUUAAUGAACUUCUGAUUUAAGAGGAUAGAAUCAAUUUUCCCUGAAGCUUUUCUGAAGUUCUCCAAAUCAUCAUACUUGCAGUUCCCUUACCAAGCAAGGUGAUUUCCCAUGCUUCCAUCAGCAUUUCUUCUAGGAAGUUAUCCUAAAUAUGUUCUGAAUAUAAGAUUCUUUUUCAGGUCCUUGACCACAAGGAAAAUUUGUAGCAAAUAUCAUAUAGGAUAUCUAAUUCAAAGCAUAAUCCUGAUUGAACUUGAAUAAGUUGCACAAAGGUUUAAAUAGUAAUAAUGAACUUGGGAAAAUACAAAAUUACAUGUAAACAUCUGCUAUGUCCUGCCUUCUAGACAGAGGAAUCUGAGGACAGGGCUGAAGCAUAAGAAAAGAGAGCCUUAAAUAUGAGAUGAGAUCUAAUAUUUCCUGGGUUUGCAAGUGUCUUUUAAAUAGUUCAUAGGAGUUUGGCUUCUGUCUUCUGAUGAUCUGAGACAACACUGAUAGAGGAAUUUCCUUUUACUAAGAUGUUAUCAGAUAUUUAAUAAGUUUUGCUAAAAGAGAAAGGUUGAAGUUGUUGGUUUUAUUAUGGACUCUCACCAAAAAUGAUUGGCAAUAUAUUUUUUUGUCAUGGAUUAGAACCUUUUAUUUGCACUAAGGGAAGCUUCUUCAUGUAGGAUAGUGUUUGGGUAGGAGAAUUGAGUGAAUGCUCUAUUUCAUUUGUGCAACUCAUUUGAAUAGAAGUUGUAUUCAUUUUAAGACACUUCAGAUGCCAUUCUAUGUAUUGGUAAUGAACUUUUGAACUUUUUACUGCGGUGCAUGAUAUCCUUUUUUUUGUUUAACCACUUACCUGAAAUGUUUGAAGUUUGAAGUUUGAAGUGCACAAUGUGUAUGUUAGUGUCAUGAGAUUGCUUGUGAAAUUAUAUAGCAGUUCACAUUGACAAAUGCAGCUCAGUUUGACAUCUAAGUCUGUAUUAAUGUUGUUUACUAAUUACUUUAACACCUGCAUUGGGCUGCAA